rnacentral:sRNA from 1 species
CUAAAAAGAAAUUGCAUUGUAUAACCAAGAAAAAACUAUAUAAUUCAUCAACUAAAAUUUUGUAGCCACAACGAAGAUGCGUUUCAAUAAACAAAUCAACAAAUGAUGGGAGAGGUUUUGGUCCUGAAUGGAUGCUGAUUUUCUAUUCAGUUUUUGGAUUUAGAUUUUAAUUUUUAUAUUUUAUAUUUUA